rnacentral:rRNA from 1 species
GACGAACGCUGGCGGCGUGCUUAACACAUGCAAGUCGAGCGGUAAGGCCCUUUCGGGGGUACACGAGCGGCGAACGGGUGAGUAACACGUGGGUGACCUGCCUUUAGCUCUGGGAUAAGUCUGGGAAACUGGGUCUAAUACCGGAUAUGACUCCGCGGUGCAUGCUGUGGGGUGGAAAGCCUUGUGCGGCUGGAGAUGGGCCCGCGGCCUAUCAGCUUGUUGGUGGGGUGANGGCCUACCAAGGCGACGACGGGUAGCCGGCCUGAGAGGGCGACCGGCCACACUGGGACUGAGACACGGCCCAGACUCCUACGGGAGGCAGCAGUGGGGAAUCUUGCGCAAUGGGCGAAAGCCUGACGCAGCGACGCCGCGUGAGGGAUGA